rnacentral:rRNA from 1 species
AACGAACGCUGGCGGCAUGCCUAACACAUGCAAGUCGAACGAGACCUUCGGGUCUAGUGGCGCACGGGUGCGUAACGCGUGGGAACCUGCCCUUAGGUUCGGAAUAACUCCCCGAAAGGGGUGCUAAUACCGGAUAAUUUCUUCGGACCAAAGAUUUAUCGCCUUUGGGUGGGCCCGCGUUGGAUUAGCGAGUUGGUAGGGUAAAAGCCUACCAAGGCGGCGAUCCAUAGCUGGUCUGAGAGGAUGAUCAGCCACACUGGGACAGGGACACGGCCCAGACGCCAGGGGGGGGGGGGGGAGGGGAAAAUUGGAAAGGGGGCCAAAGCCUGAACCGCCAAGGCCGGGAGGAUGGUGAGGGGGUUGGGGUUGUAAAGCUCUUUUACCGGAGAUAAUAUGACGGGACCGGGAGAAAAAGGACCGGCUAACUACGUG